AUUGAACGCUGGCGGCAUGCCUUACACAUGCAAGUCGAACGGCAGCAUAGGAGCUUGCUCCUGAUGGCGAGUGGCGAACGGGUGAGUAAUAUAUCGGAACGUGCCCUAGAGUGGGGGAUAACUAGUCGAAAGACUAGCUAAUACCGCAUACGAUCUACGGAUGAAAGUGGGGGAUCGCAAGACCUCAUGCUCCUGGAGCGGCCGAUAUCUGAUUAGCUAGUUGGUGGGGUAAAAGCCUACCAAGGCGACGAUCAGUAGCUGGUCUGAGAGGACGACGGGCCACACUGGGACUGAGACACGGCCCAGCCUCCUACGGGAGGCAGCAGUGGGGAAUUUUGGACAAUGGGGGCAACCCUGAUCCAGCAAUGCCGCGUGAGUGAAGAAGGCCUUCGGGUUGUAAAGCUCUUUUGUCAGGGAAGAAACGGUAGUAGCUAAUAUCUAUUACUAAUGACGGUACCUGAAGAAUAAGCACCGGCUAACUACGUGCCAGCAGCCGCCGUAA
rnacentral:rRNA from 1 species